rnacentral:siRNA from 1 species
UACUGAAGAUUUCGAUGUU